rnacentral:lncRNA from 1 species
GCAUUGCUUUGACUACGGAGAGGUGAUCGUGAGUGAAGUAGAGAAGUUUCUUUAACCAGUUAGUUCCUCUAGAUAUCUACCUUGGUCCCUACUCGCUCUACGGUUAUGAAUUUUAUCUUAUUUUCUUUUGGUAUGACGUGUGAGGAUCCGUGAGGGCGUAUGUUUAAUCCCAUAUUGGUUAUUUGCUGGGUAGAUCUUGGAUACUUGUACAGAAUCAAAAAACUCAAAUAAUACCUUCCGGCUGGCCAUUUUGAGUAAGAUUCUGAGUUGUUACAAAUAGUAUCAGAGCGGACUUGAACCAUAACCUAUGUGGACUGGGGGACACUACAGCAUGGAUCUAUUGGGAUUAACCAUAAGCCGAUCAUGAUAUUUGUUAUUAGAUUUGAAUGAAUUUGAGCCUUUAGCCUGACGAGGAUGUCAGGGCUUGAACGAAAAAAGUAUGUGAGAAUCCGUGCGGACGUAUGUUUAGUGCUAUAUCGGUUAUUUGCUAGAUAGAUCUUCGAUACGUAUAUAGGAUCAAGGAACUCAAAUAAUAUCUUUCGACUGGUCAUUUUGGGUGAGGUCCUACGUUGUUACAUAACGUUAAGAAAUUUCUUUAAUUGUUUUGUCAUUUUAAACAUCAG